rnacentral:rRNA from 1 species
GAUUUCUGGCGGGAGCGGGUGGUCCGGCACUUUGUGUUGGUACUUUCCUGUCUCUUGCCAUCCUUGGGUCUAAGCUGUCUGGCAUUUAGUUGUCGGGCAGUGGCUGCCCAUCGUUUACUGUGAAAAAAUUAGAGUGUUCAAAGCAGGCUUAUGCCGUUGAAUAUAUUAGCAUGGAAUAAUAAGAUAGGACCUUGGUACUAUUUUGUUGGUUUGCGCACCGAGGUAAUGAUUAAGAGGGACAGUUGGGGGUAUUCGUAUUCAAUUGUCAGAGGUGAAAUUCUUGGAUUUCUGGAAGACGAACUACUGCGAAAGCAUUUACCAAGGAUGUUUUCAUUAAUCAAGAACGAAAGUUAGGGGAUCGAAGAUGAUUAGAUACCAUCGUAGUCUUAACCAUAAACUAUGCCGACUAGGGAUUUGUGGGUGUUAUUUUUGACCCCAUGAGCACCUUAUGAGAAAUCAAAGUCUUUGGGUUCCGGGGGGAGUAUGGUCGCAAGUCUGAAACU